rnacentral:tRNA from 14 species
GCGGCCGUGGCGGAAUGGUAGACGCGCAAGCUUGAGGUGCUUGUGGGGGAAACCCUGUGGAAGUUCGAGUCUUCUCGGCCGCACCA